AAUAGAUACCCGGGUAGUCCACGCCCUAAACGAUGUCUACUAGUUGUCGGGGGGUAACUCCUUCGGUAACGCAGCUAACGCGUGAAGUAGACCGCCUGGGGAGUACGGUCGCAAGAUUAAAACUCAAAGGAAUUGACGGGGACCCGCACAAGCGGUGGAUGAUGUGGAUUAAUUCGAUGCAACGCGAAAAACCUUACCUACCCUUGACAUGCCACUAACGAAGCAGAGAUGCAUUAGGUGCCCGAAAGGGAAAGUGGACACAGGUGCUGCAUGGCUGUCGUCAGCUCGUGUCGUGAGAUGUUGGGUUAAGUCCCGCAACGAGCGCAACCCUUGCCAAUAGUUGCUACGAAAGGGCACUCUAUUGGGACUGCCGGUGACAAACCGGAGGAAGGUGGGGAUGACGUCAAGUCCUCAUGGCCCUUAUGGGUAGGGCUUCACACGUCAUACAAUGGCUGGUACAGAGGGUUGCCAACCCGCGAGGGGGAGCCAAUCCCACAAAACCAGUCGUAGUCCGGAUUGCAGUCUGCAACUCGACUGCAUG
rnacentral:rRNA from 1 species